rnacentral:rRNA from 1 species
CUACGGGUGGCAGCAGUGGGGAAUAUUGCACAAUGGGCGCAAGCCUGAUGCAGCCAUGCCGCGUGUAUGAAGAAGGCCUUCGGGUUGUAAAGUACUUUCAGCGGGGAGGAAGGGAGUAAAGUUAAUACCUUUGCUCAUUGACGUUACCCGCAGAAGAAGCACCGGCAAACUCCGUGCCAGCAGCCGCGGUAAUACGGAGGGUGCAAGCGUUAAUCGGAAUUACUGGGCGUAAAGCGCACGCAGGCGAUUUGUUAAGUCAGAUGUGAAAUCCCCGGGCUCAACCUGGGAACUGCAUCUGAUACUGGCAAGCUUGAGUCUCGUAGAGGGGGGUAGAAUUCCAGGUGUAGCGGUGAAAUGCGUAGAGAUCUGGAGGAAUACCGGUGGCGAAGGCGGCCCCCUGGACGAAGACUGACGCUCAGGUGCGAAAGCGUGGGGAGCAAACAGGAUUAGAUACCCGCGUAGUC